CUGCAGAGGAUACUAUCGUCUCCAUUUCAGGCGAGGCUAGGAGCUUCUCAAACAAGCCUAUGUACAAAUCCCUGCAACCUGAAUGAACCAGGUAGAGGAACAGGUAAAACAGACCUAACCACCGACUCUGACGGCCUCUACAAUGAGUUUCUCCACAGAGAGAG